rnacentral:rRNA from 1 species
GUGGGGAAUUUUGGACAAUGGGCGCAAGCCUGAUCCAGCCAUUCCGCGUGCAGGAUGAAGGCCUUCGGGUUGUAAACUGCUUUUGUACGGAACGAAACGGUCCUGGCUAAUAUCCGGGGCUAAUGACGGUACCGUAAGAAUAAGCACCGGCUAACUACGUGCCAGCAGCCGCGGUAAUACGUAGGGUGCGAGCGUUAAUCGGAAUUACUGGGCGUAAAGCGUGCGCAGGCGGUGCUGUAAGACAGGCGUGAAAUCCCCGGGCUCAACCUGGGAAUUGCGCUUGUGACUGCAAGGCUGGAGUGCGGCAGAGGGGGAUGGAAUUCCGCGUGUAGCAGUGAAAUGCGUAGAUAUGCGGAGGAACACCGAUGGCGAAGGCAAUCCCCUGGGCCUGCACUGACGCUCAUGCACGAAAGCGUGGGGAGCAAACAGGAUUAGAUACCCUGGUAGUCC